rnacentral:lncRNA from 1 species
CGAUGUCAUGUGGAGGAGCCGCCGAGUGAUUGAUGGGCCCCAGCUUGAAUGGAAAGUCCAGAUUCCAGCAACACAGCUUAAGAGAUGAAGGUUGCUUGAGCAGGAAAUCCACCCAUGGCCCAAAGAGGAAAGAUCCGCUUUAAAUGCCUGGGCAUAUACUUCCAAGAACCAGAUGUGGCCUGUUCCUUACACCUCCCUGGGCUUAGAUGACAGCUUGAACUCUGCGGCUGAUGGAAUUGAGCAGAUGGGAAUGACCUGGAAUCUAACACUCUACAAUUCAGACACACCACUGUCCACUUGUCCCUCCCUUCCUGCCACUGGCCCUGCCAGCGUACCUUGUGUACUUCGCAAAGGUCACUGGCUCCUGUUUUAUGUAAUGACUGACAGACGAUCUCGCCCAGCUCAGCAAUGUGAACAGACACCUUGCAUGGUGC